rnacentral:rRNA from 1 species
CCUACGGGGGGCAGCAGUGAGGAAUAUUGGUCAAUGGCCGGAAGGCUGAACCAGCCAUGCCGCGUGAAGGUCAGUGCCCUAUGGGCGUUAAACUUCUUUUGUGCGGGAGCAAUAAUGGUCACGUGUGGCCAGACGAGAGUACCGUACGAAUAAGCAUCGGCUAACUCCGUGCCAGCAGCCGCGGUAAUACUGGGGAUGCAAGCGUUAUCCGGAUUUAUUGGGUUUAAAGGGUGCGUAGGCUGUGAGGUAAGUCAGCGGUGAAAUGCCCCCGCUCAACGGGGUGAAGUUCCAUUGAUACUGCCUGGCUGGAAUGCGGAUGCGGUGGGAGGAAUGUGUGGUGUAGCGGUGAAAUGCAUAGAUAUCACACAGAACACCGAUUGCGAAGGCAUCUCACGAAUCCGCGAUUGACGCUGAUGCACGAAAGCGUGGGUAUCAAACAGGAUUAGAUACCCUGGUAGUC